UUUUUCGUAUAUUUUUUUAUUGCUACGUGGCAAACAAGUUACCAGUAGGUUCAGUAGAUUCUCAGAAAACAAAUGAGACCCAGCAUUCAUGAUAUGCACGCUCUUAAGGCUGUGCAAUUGGGCAAUUAGUUGAAUUAGUUGAAAGGGAUGUGUUCAAAAAAAUAGCAGUGUGGCAUUCAAUCACUGAGGUCAUCAAUUUUGUGAAGAAACAGGUGUGAAUCAGGUGGUCCCUAUUUAAGGAUGAAGCCAACACUUGUUGAACAUGCAUUUGAAAGCUGAGGAAAAUGGGUCGGUCAAGACAUUGUUCAGAAGAACAGUGUACUUUGAUUAAAAAGUUGAUUAGAGAGGGGAAAACCUAUAAAGAGGUGCAAAAAUGAUAGGCUGUUCAGCUAAAAUGAUCUCCAAUGCCUUAAAAUGGAGAGCAAAACCAGAGAGACGUGGAAGAAAACGGAAGACAACCAUCAAAAUGGAUAGAAGAAUAACCAGAAUGGCAAAGGCUCAGCCAAUGAUCACAUCCAGGAUGAUCAAAGACAGUCUGGAGUUACCUGUAAGUACUGUGACAGUUAGAAGACGUCUGUGUGAAGCUAAUCUAUUUUCAAGAAUCCCCCGCAAAGUCCCUCUGUUAAAAAAAAGGCAUGUGCAGAAGAGGUUACAAUUUGCCAAAGAACACAUCAACUGGCCUAAAGAGAAAUGGAGGAACAUUUUGUGGACUGAUGAGAGUAAAAUUGUUCUUUUUGGGUCCAAGGGCCACAGGCAGUUUGUGAGACGACCCCCAAACUCUGAAUUCAAGCCACAGUACACAGUGAAGACAGUGAAGCAUGGAGGUGCAAGCAUCAUGAUAUGGGCAUGUUUCUCCUACUAUGGUGUUGGGCCUAUUUAUCGCAUACCAGGGAUCAUGGAUCAGUUUGCAUAUGUUAAAAUACUUGAAGAGGUCAUGUUGCCCUAUGCUGAAGAGGACAUGCCCUUGAAAUGGUUGUUUCAACAAGACAAUGACCCAAAACACACCAGUAAACGGGCAAAGUCUUGGUUCCAAACCAACAAAAUUAAUGUUAUGGAGUGGCCAGCCCAAUCUCCAGACCUUAAUCCAAUUGAGAACUUGUGGGGUGAUAUCAAAAAUGCUGUUUCUGAAGCAAAACCAAGAAAUGUGAAUGAAUUGUGGAAUGUUGUUAAAGAAUCAUGGAGUGGAAUAACAGCUGAGAGGUGCCACAAGUUGGUUGACUCCAUGCCACACAGAUGUCAAGCAGUUUUAAAAAACUGUGGUCAUACAACUAAAUAUUAGUUUAGCGAUUCACAGGAUUGCUAAAUCCCAGAAAAAAAAAAUGUUUGUACAAAAUAGUUUUGAGUUUGUACAGUCAAAGGUAGACACUGCUAUUUUUUUGAACACACCCCUUUCAACUAAUUGCCCAAUUGCACAGCCUUAAGAGCGUGCAUAUCAUGAAUGCUGGGUCUCAUUUGUUUUCUGACAAUCUACUGAACCUACUGGUAACUUGUUUGCCACGUAGCAAUAAAAAAUAUACUAAAAACCUUGAUUAUUCUGGUUAGUCACAUUGUACUGCUAUUAUUUUGAACAAUACUGUAAUUCCAUAUUUUUGAGCAGUUGUGUGAACCACAGAAUAUCCUGAAACUAUGUCAGGAGCCACAUUGAAAAGUUGCAUAUCACUUCAAGCUUAUCACAUUCCUACUUCUUAACACUGCAAAAAAAAAAAAGUUUUAAUCAGUAUUUUGUCUUGUUUUCCUGUAAUAUUAAACAUUCUUAAACGAGGUUCUUUUUUUUUUAGAGCAAGCGAAUAAAUAGACUUGAAAAUGCAUCAAAUAUUUCUUAGCAAAAGUCAUAUUUAAAAUUAUAAAUAUUAAAUUAGAUUUAUUUAAUAUGCUGAGCUUUGCUAUGUAUUUUGCCAAAAUAAAUGUAGUUGCUUUGUCAUUUACCAAAAUUUAUUAAAACCUAAACUUAAAUAUUUUAUUUAAUCAAUUAUUAUGCUUGUGUAUGUACACCAUUGUGAGAUUACCAAAUCCAAAGCAAGUGAUGCAAUGCUAAAUUUCUCCAACUCUUCUUCAUCUUGGAUGAUCUGAGGGUACAUUUUGGGUACUUUAUUAUUAUUAUUUUUUUUUUACACAUGUAUCUCUAAGUAUGAACCUCAGUAAAUUAAAUUGAGAUAGUUAUGUUUUAAAUAACAAAAACUUUGCCGGAAACCAAGAAAAAAAAACUGAUUUAAAAAAACUUCUUCUUUUUUUUUUUUUUUUUGCAGUUGCAACAAUGUAUAUUAGUAAUGUGUGCCACUAUAAAAUGCUCCCUGUUCAUAUCUCCCUGAGGGUUUUGUAGCUAGCACAUAAUAUUUGUAGUCUCCAUUGAUUUCCAUCAUUGGGUGCAGUGUGCUAGAUUAAACUGCUGUUUACAUGGAGAGACAGACAGCAAGAAACGGCGAAGGAAAAUGUGGAUGCAUUUAUUGCACAGCUCAUAGCUUUUACCGUUUGAAGCUGUAUCCUGCCUGCUGUGAAAAUAAGACAAAGAAGAAAAAAAAAAAAUUUUAUAUUAUUGAGGAAAAUAUUGAAUCUGUUAAAGAUGGCACAUGCCGGGGCCCAUUCAGAUCAAUAUUACUGUCUAGUGUUAGAUGUGUAUUUACCUUGUACAGCUGUACUCCUAUAAAUAUGGUUUAAUGUAUUAUUGAUAGUUUCAAAGACUAAGUGAUCAAAUAUUUUUAUGAAAUGCAACAGUACGGAUAUAAUAAAUUUUGCUAAAAUCUUGUUUACCUGUAUGAUAUUCUGAUAUACUGUUAAAUAAACUCUUGACAAAGUUCAUUUUAUAGCUCUCAUUAAUAUACACUGUUUCAUACAUUGAGAUAGAUAGACAGACAGACAGACAGACUGACUGACUGACUGAUGGAGAUUUUAAAGUAUGUCCUGUGAAUACUGGAGUGUAAUGUGACAACUAGCCCCAGUCUCCGCUUCAAGUUGUCUUCCAGACCACAAGGUGGCGCAACACUACGUUCUAAAUGUGAAAAACAUUCAAUGAGGCGGUUCAAAAGAACACGAAAAACAAACCCAAAACUGGAUGAUGUCUGAAAAGCAUAGAAACCUUCCUCCCUGGAUGGUGAAAUCCGACGUUCAAAGAAGCAAAGACAAUGAAGCGGUGAUGAAGAAAACGCGUGGUGAAACCACAAAAAGUAAAGCUAAGAAGCGGCUCAAAAGUGUCAAGUAUUGGAUGAACGAGCGGGAGCUCGUGGAAACAGCGCUCGUCCUUUUGAAGGAUGAUGAGGCAUGUGCUAAAGAUGCAAUGCAAGCCCCAGAGGAGCUGAGGAUCAUUCCGGAGACAGAUGAAGACGCGUCAGACCCGGAUGUGCAGGACAGAAGAUGUGUUUCAGACAUCGCAGAGCAGGAGACUGUGCCAUAUGGAAACUACAUGGAAGAAAGAGCCUGUACAAAAGCAGACUGCCAUCUGAAACCUCCUCCUGAUGGUUCAGGAGCUUCUGAGAAGCAUGAUGUGGAUGAUGAGGCUCUUGAACUUGUUCGCGAGAUUUUUUUCAAAUAAUUUAAACCUGAAGACACAAAGUUUAGUGCUAGCAAACAUAAUUUUAUCAAGAUUUAAAGUGAUACUUAAUAACUUAGUCAUCCUCAUGUCACUGCAAACCUGCUUGGUUUUCUUCUGUGGAGCACAAAAGGUGAUAUUUGGAAGAAUGUCCUGGUCACUCUUUUCCAUGCAGUUACAGUGAAUGCCAACUUUCAACCUACAAAAGGCCCACCUAAAAAGGCCUAAUUAAUUGGGUUUGGGACAGCAUGAGGGUGAGUAUAUGUUGUUGUUGUUGUUUUUUAUAUAUGCAUUAUCUCUUUUUACUUUACUUUUGAUUCUUUUUUUUAUAUUGCAAGCUCUGCUUUUCUGCAGGGAAUGAAAAUCCAGUUAUGAUUUUAUGUUUUUUUUUUUUUGUUCUGUUGUUUGAUGCCUGAACAAAGGUGAUUUCGUAUUUGUUUUCUAAACCAGCUGAUUUAUUACCGUAUUUUUCGGACUAUAAAACGCACUUCUGUUCAUAGUUUGGCUGGUCCUGCGACUUAUAGUGAGGUGUGGCUUAUUUAUCAAAAUUCAUUUUACAUGAACCAAGAGAAAACAUUACCGUCUACAGCCGCGAGAGGGCGCGCUAUGCUGCCAGAGAUGCUAAACAGUGCUCCUGUAGUCUACACUGAGCGGCAUAGAGCGCCCUCUCGCGGCUGGAGACGGUUAUGUUUACUCUUGGUUCUUGGAGUCCAGUGCCACUUGUGUUUUUUUCCUUGGCAUGACGUAUUUUUGGACUGAUGUGACUUAGAUGCGACUUAUAGUCCGAAAAAUACGGUAACUGUCAUUUGCACACUCGCACUUUCUAUAGUCCUUUGAGUAAGAAAGCAACAACAAAGGACAAAUGAGAUGAUGUUCAAUGACUUGCAAAAAUAGAUUGUAUAUUUAUUCAUUUUAAUAAAACAAUAAAACUGGUACUUGAACA